UUUAAUGGCUGAAUAAUACUCAACUGCAUAUAUAUGCCAUGUCUGCUUUAUCCAUUCAUCCAUUGAUGAACACUUAAAUUGUUUCCAUCUCUUGGCUAUUGUAAAUAAUUCAACUGCACUUUAAAGAGUAUGUUUAUUAUAAUUAAUCCAGAAUUUAGUAUUCUCAGGGGAGGAUUUUCAUAAUUGCAAUCCAUAACCUUACCAGAAGAGCAACCCCCACAUGUGUAUUGAUCUAUUCAUUUUUCAUACCCCACCUAAUUCCAAAAUUAUCUUAGGUGGCCUACAGAUAGUGGUAUGGUGUAGUCAUCUUGUACUGGCUUAUGAGAAAUUUAUUGUUAAACUUUUAAGAAUCUUGCCAGCCGUCUGUUAAACACAGCCAUCAUUAAAAAUUAAAUUAUAUAAACUUAAAAUUAAAUAAUUAAAAACAUAAUAAAUACUCAAAUUCAUCACUUUCUAAUUAUGUUCCACUGUUACUUAUACUGUCGAGGUUAUUUAUGUCCCUCGUAUCUGCAUGGUGAAAAUGCUACAGAAAGGUGUCCUACUGCACAUCUCCUCCGAAAUCCACAUUGGACAGCCUCAUGUUAGUAUCUUGAAAUGGGUCAUGGUGGGAGUAUUUACACCAGGGAAAUGGACACACAUUACAAAUCAACUCUUAUUUAUUUCUUUAUUGCUUGUCUAAAUUUCAUAUAGUGAUGAAGAGAAUAACAGUGCAAAGUAAAUACUAAAAGUAUGUCAUAUCCACAGCAGUUACAUUCUGAAUAGCACAAAAAGUUGAGGAAAUACUCUUCCAGUGUUUGGAAGCAGUUAACAAAUUCAGCAAAAAAGUUGCUUACAUGGGGAAGAGUGAGUGGAUUUCUGAUGCAUGACAUAGAUCUUUGUUGUUUCACUUUUGUCUUCCUUGUUAAAAUGGAAAUAUUAGCCAACAUUCAUGUCUAAACUAUUCUUAUUUAUUGAUUGCAACCACAGGUUGGCUGUGGAUAAAGGAUUUGACAAAAAUGAACAAAAGCAUUCUAUGAGAAUCAAUUGGCUGCUUGGAAUUUACAAUAAAUAUUGUGUAUUUUACUAUUAUUUGUUUACUGUGUAUUAUACAUCUUUUAUAGCAGCAUGUUUGUAAUAUACAUGCACAUUGUUUUCAAAGAACCAGGUGUGGAACAUUCACCAGCACACCUCUGCUUACAGGGACAUAUAUAGAUACACUAAGGUAAGAUUUGAAGUAGAUGAGAAAGAUAAAAGGAACAGCAAGGAGAGGGCCUCACUAGAGCUGGAGAUGAUGCUAACAGACAAUUUCAUAUUAUGGAGGGCAGACAUGGGACAUGGUGGGCUGCAGGUUUGCCUCUAAGCUUCCCAGCACACCUUAUUAAUAUAUAAAGGGAAAUUUGAUUGUGUACCAAUUUUUCAGUGUUUGGGUCAGAAAUUGUGGCAAUUCUCCUAGGCUGAGUCUGGAAGGAAUUUUACUCUGAGGCUGUGUAUAGAGGAACAAUGUGUUUUUCUAAAUAUCAAUAAUAUCCUUAAAGCAAAGCCUCACUUAGAGUCAAAGGAAUACUUUUGGGAGAGCCCCUCUCUGAAGGCUGGACACUUCUUGCCAAACUGCAUUUCUGUAAGAUAACACUAUUGAAGUAUUUGUGGAUGAAAUCAUAAGAACUCUGGGACUUGUUUUAAAAUUCUCCACAAAACAAAGGAAUAAACAUCUGUUGAAGUGAAUAAUUGAAGCAAAAAGAGCGAAAUACUGAUAAAUGUUGAAGCUGGAUGAUGGGCAAUUGGGGAUUCACUGAACUCUUGUCUGUACUUUGAAACAAGACUGAAUCUUAUUAAUGUAGUCUAACAGCUCCUCCUCCCUUCCCCCCUACAUACCUUAUCUCCACUUCUCCCUCCUUGCUAUUCCUGUGGUAUAUCAACUGGGUCUUUUGUCCUUCCCACAUUGUGGAUUUGGCUGUUACUACUUCAUGGUGACAAAAAAAUAUUACCUAACAGAAAUCCAUUAAACUUAGAAAUUAUCCUACAGGAAUGAGACAGGUCAGGGAUGUUUUAAUGAAAACAGAAGGGAAGAAAAAUGAGCCAUCUGACCCAAAGAAAGGAAUUGCAGUAACAGGGGCACAACCCACAGGGAAGGUGAGGAAAGUGGGGACUGAAAAGCAGAGAAUCCGCAAAGAGAAGCACUGGAGAAAACUUUUGCCUGCUGCUUAUUUCUGAGUUCUUUGUCUUUGAGCACCUCCCCUUCCUCACCCUGCCACCUCAACCCUCAGGCAGAAUGGUGGGGCAGGGGCAGCAGGGGUGGAAGGUGUCAGGGGCAUUUUCCUCAUUCUGGUUGCACUGUUGAGCUAAAACUUAAGGGAUUUGAAAAAAAAAUAUUUUUCUUGAACCACAUGCUUUUUAAGGAAAAAAAAAAACCAAAUACAUUUAAAAUCAAAUCAAUUUUGAAGGGGCAGCAUCUUUAUCAUCUCCCAUCCUUGGGAUUCAUUUUACAUUCAAAUAAAUAGAAAACUACUUGCAAAAAGGCAAAUUACACCUAGAUUUACCCACAGGUGGCAUUUCAUGCCAUGACUUAAUGGCACUUCAUCAACAUGAGCUUUUCUGGGCUCACUGAUUAGAUCUUGCAAUAUGGAAAGUACCUUACCGUAAUUUUUCAUUUGUUCACAGGUUAUGCCAUUUGGAACCAUGUAAAGUAGCUAAUGUUUUGGUGGUUUUCAAAAACACUGUAUAACCAAGAAAUUCAAGCACCACAUACCAGUGACUUAGGGACCAUUUAGACAUCUGAUGAGAUAUGUAUGACUGUGAUUAAAGUUUCUAUGGUUUGAAGAGUCUGGACACGGCUUCACUGGGUCCUCUGCCCAGUGUCUUACGGGACUGCAAUCAACAUGCCACCUAGGCUGAAGUCUCAUUUGAAGAAUUAACUGGAGAAUCAUCUUCUUGCAAGCUCAUUCAGGUUGUUGGCAGAACUUAAUUCCUUCCGUUUGUAUAACUGAAGGCCCCAGCUUUUUGAUGGUUCUCCACUGGAGCCCACUUUCAGAUCCUAGAGGCCUUCCGCUUCCACUGGCACUCUCACUGUAUGGCAGCUGACUUCUUCAUGUCAGCAAGGAAGAGCUGUCGCUCUAGUUUCCUAAGAUGGUGUCUUAUAUCAUGUAGUCUAAAUAUGGGGUGACAGCCCAUCGCCUUGCUAUAUAUUGUAACCUAAUCAGGGAGGUGACACCCCAUUACCUUUGCUCUGUUUUAUUAGAAGCAAAUAACAGGUUCUGCUCUCACCCAAGGGGAGAGGGAUUCUAGGUGUGGCUCAUUGGAGGUCACCUUAGGGAAUAUCCAGACCCAGUGGGGUUGCAGUUUUAGGCAGGGUGGCCAGAGAAGGCAUCCCUGAGAGCUACCAUUUGGGGAAGGACCUGGGGAGGAGAGGAAGAAAGUCAUGUGACUAUCCUGGGGAAGAGCAUCUUCCCAAGAGGGAAAAAAACAAAUACAAAUUUUCGAGGAACAUGCCUGCCAUUUUGAGACAAAAUAUCCUGUGUGUCGAUGAGAAAGAUCAAAGUGAGGGACAAAUGGAUGCUGCAGGGGAAAAAGAAUUGCUGGAGAAUCACUUAAGAGUAAGCAAGGGGAAUCUAGUGCAGAAGUCAAGGGGUUGACAUUUGCUAGUAGUAAAGACAAAUUCCUGGUAAAAGUCUUGAAGGCAGAGUAAGUAGGCACAUGUACAAGUGUAGACACGGUGAUGGGAACAUCUCCUUUCUCACUGAACUAAGAAACAGAGACAUCUGCUGAGAGUGAGGACUAGGGAGGUGUUAGCCAUCUGAGGGGGAAUAAGAAGAAAGGAAAUAGUCAUCCAUGAGGGUGGGGUUAGAAAUGGAUCCUUCCGGGGAAUGGGGAGUGUCCGUCUGUUCACUUGAUAGCAAUCAAGGCCCACCUGAUCUUAGUGCUUAUGAAUUUAAGGACAGACCAUUCACCAUGGUGGGGUGUCUUUCACUGACCACAGUCAGUAUGUGUGGAGAUAGGCAAUAUAUAUGCAGAAAACUGGAUUGAACAGGGUUGUGGUUUAGGUAAGUGAGCAGAGAGGGGCAAGGUGCAAGGGAGGAGUAUGGUGAGUGACCAUGGAGUUUAAGCUAGGUCAGAUCCAGCUGGCAGGAAGUCAGUAAGGAUAUAGUUGAAUUGAACAACACUGUUAUCAACUGGAUCUAGUUCAUGUUUAUACAGUUCUCUACCUCAGAACAGCAGAAUAUUCAUUCUCUUCAUGCUCAUAUGGAUGAUUAAAACACAUUCUGGGUCAUAAAUAUACCUUAACAAAUUCAAUAGAGUAGAAAUCCUACAAAGUCUCUUCUCAACCACAUGGAAUUAAACUAGAAAUCAGUAACAGAAAUAAAGCUGAAAAAUCUCAAAAUCAUUGGAGAUUAAACAUCACACUUUUAAAUAACAUAUGGGUCAAAAUGAAACCAUGUGAAAAAUUUUUAAAGAAUAUUUUCAAGUAAAUAAAAAUAUAACAUCAAAAUUAUGGAAUGCAAUAAAAGCAAGGCAUAGAAGAAAAUUUGUAACAAUGAAUUCAUAUAUUAGAAAUGAAUUAUUGAGUCAGUUGACAUGAGUUUUAAGACUAAACAUUUUAUAGAGGAGGAUGGAGAGGUGCUGAAAGUGACAUGAGAUGUAAGAAAGACACUUAACCCUCAAAGAACAAGAGAAGUGGGAAAGAAAACUGCCACUGAGAGCCUGCAGGGGAAGCAGAGUCCCAAGGGGAAGGUAGGUUCCAGUGACCACAAAGAUUCAGAAAAGUUCAGAGAAGAAAUGAAGGCUGUGGAUAUUUUGCUGAUGAUUUUCAAAAGGCACUGUGGAAGAGCUUCAGGGAAGGGGAUCAGAAAAAGGAGUGUCAGAAAGGGGUGGGAUAAGGGUUUGAGGGUUAAAGGAUACCCAACCAAAGCAGAGUUAAGGGGCAUGAUGAGUUGGGGCAAGUUGUCCUGAUGCUGCAAGAAGGAAGUUGUAGGGGUCUCCUGGGGACACACGGAAAUUCUGUUGUCACACAACAUUGAGGCUGGUAGUAGAGCAGCAUCACUCUGGGUGCUCACGUCUCUUGUGACUCCUGCCCAUGGAAACCUGCAGAGGGCGCUCUUCCUGAGCAGGGGAAACAGUCCAUCCCCAAGUCCCCUAGAAAGAGCAUGGGGAACCUCAGUCAAAAGAGGGUUAGUAUAGGGAAACUCAGGGAAGUAAGGAAGACAGGCAGCUAGACUUGCUAGUUAGAAGACUGAUACAUUUACUUAUCAUGUGUUAAAAUUUGUGACCAUGCUGACAGAUUUUAAUUAUUUGUGAGAUUGCAAUUAUUUGUGACUGCUAAUUUUAGUGUUUAAUCUUUUUGUAACACAGUUGUUCAUAUCUCUGUUUUUACUGUUACAGUAGUUGGUCAUUCUCAUCUUAUGUUUUGAAUUCAAAUUCUGAGGAUAUCCAGUCAUCUCCACCAGCUAAUCCACCCAUUCCUUUCUUUCUGUCUCCCUCCCUCCCUCCCUCCCUGUGUCUUUCCAUCCCUGCUCCCAUCAGCGCAUCCAGUCUUUCAUUUAUUUGUUCAUUUAGCAAGUGUUUAUAACAUCCAAAACUAAUCUAAUGCUAUAUGUCAAUUAUACCUCAAAAAAAGAAGCUUCUUUCAAUAAACAAAAAACUCAGGUAUUUAUGGAGCAUUUGAAGAUCCCCUGGAGAAGGGAAUGGCAGUCCACUCCAGUAUUCUUGCCUGGAGAAUCCCACGGACAGAGGAGCCUGGGGGGCUACAGUCCAUGGGGUCGCAAAGAGUCGGACAUGAUUGAGCGACUAACUCUUUCACUUUAGUAUGUUUCAGAAACUGUUUUAGGAGACUAAAGUGAUGACAGCAGAUAAAGCUUACAUUCUUAUGCAAAUAAGCAAAAAAGGUGCCUGAGAAGUGCUAUGGAGACAAAUAAAACAGAGUAAGGAGGAGAAGGAAUACUGAGAGUGAGAGAAGGAGAGAUCAGGAAAGAGGUCUCUGAAUGUGACAUUUGUGCUAAGGCCCCGAGGGAAGUGAGGGAGGAAGGCAUGCAGAAAACAACAGGAAGAGCAUCGUGAGCAAAGGAAAAAGAAGCUAUUUCAGGAAGAACAAGGGAGCCAGUGCAGCUGGAGUGAAGUGACAGGGAGAGUGAAAGGAAGUGAAGUCAGGUAGGUGUGCAUGUGGAGAGAGGGUGGUGGGUGCUGAGUGUGAGCCGGAGUGAGAGUCUGACUUGUUUUAUUUACAGUCGUAGAAUUUUAUUCAGGUUCAUAAGUGAUUAAUUUUCUUUCCAAAAGCCUAAAUACAAAUCCUAUUCAUAUAUAAUUUUUUGAAUUUACAUACAGUAAAAUUCACCUUUUUUAGGAUCCACAGGAACACAGUGCCUGCAGAGAACAAAAUCCAUGGAUGCUGAGGUUCCUUAUAUUUACAUAUAAUCUACGCAAAUCCUCUCAUGUACUUUAACCAUCUCUGAUUUCCUGUAAUACCUAAUAGAGUGUAAAUACUGUGUAAAUAGUUGCUGGGAUGCUGUGAAUUCAAGUUUUGUUGUUUUAGAACUUUGUCAAAAAAUUUUUCCCCUGAAUCUGAGAUCUGAGGUUGGUUGAAUUUGUGGAUGUGGAACCUGAGGAUAUGGACUACAUAGUCCUGUGAGUUUUGACAAACACGUGUAGUCAUGUGACUGUCACAGUCUAGAUGUAGACCAGUUUCCCCAGUCAGAGUGCACGGGGACCCCUUUGUGGUCAGCGCGGCCCUCACCUGCAGUCCCCGGCACCACUGUUGUCUUUUCUGGCCUUUUAGCUUUGUCUUCAGAGUUAUGUCUGUAGGGCGUCAUGUAAAUGAAACUAUAUAUCAUGUAGCCUGUGCUAUAGAUGUGUAUUCAUCUGGCUGCACUGGGUCCUGGUUGCAGCAGGUGGGAUCUUCGGUCUUCGUUGGAGCAUGCAGAAUGCCCCCUGCAGUGGACGUACAGAGUCCUAACCACUGGACCGCUAGGGAAUGCCCUAGUCUCCUUUUUGCUGAGCAGCAGUCCAGUGUGUGCAUGUGCCUCCGUGUGUUUAUCCAGUCACAAGUUUAGGGACUUUCAGGUUGUUUCCAAUUUUAUAUGAAUAAGAAAUAAAGCUACUAUUCAGAUUCACAUACUAGCUUUUGUGUGAACACAGAUUUUCAUUUCACUUGGAUAGUUGCCUCAGAGUGGGAUUUCAGAGUCAGAUGGCAGGCACAUUUUAACUGUAUAAGAAACUCUCAUACUGUUCUCCAAAGUGGUUGUCUCGUUUUGCGCUCCCACUACCAAUGCAUGUCACUUUUAAAAUUUUAGUCAUUUUAGUUGGCAUGUAGUGAUGUCUCCUUGUGGUUGUAAGUAGCAUUUCCCUAGUGACUAAUAACGCUGGGCAUUAUUUUUAUGUAAUUUUUGCCUUCUAUAUAUCUUCUUUGAUGAAAUGUCUUUACAAAUAUUUCAUGCCUUUGAUGAAUUGCUAUUGAAUUUUCAGAAUUUUUAAAAAUGUAUUUAGGAUAUAAUUUCUUUAUCAAAUUUUUGUUUUUCAGAUAUUUUCUACCAGUCUUGGACUCUUUUUUCCCUUUUUUUUUAAAAAAUAGGGUCUUUUGAAUAGCAGAUGUUUCCAAUUUUUAUUUAAGUCCAGUUAUCAGAUUUAAGGUUUUACAUUUAGGUCUGUGAUCUAUUUUGAGUUCAGUUCUAUGCAGUGUGAGGCAUGCAUCAAGGAACAUAUAUAUAUUUCUUGAAAAGACUAUUCUGUCUUCUUUGAAUUGCCAUUUAGGCUUAUGUAUGGUUGUGUUUAUGAGCUCUUAUCUGUUCCAUUGAUCUGCGUAUAUUAGCCAGGACCUCACAGUCUUAAUUACUGUAGCUCCAUGGUUCUCCAUGGCUCUCAUGGUUCUCUUGAGAACUCUCAAGGGUUCUGCUUGUUUCUGCCUUGCACACUCAUGUCGUGUGUGCCCUGGUGCAGGGCCUGGUGUUUGUUGUCAGAGCAGUGUUUCUUCCCCUUUGGCCACCUGCUCACUAAGGAGGUGGCAUGGUGAGAGCAUGCUUAAGAUCUUCUCCUGGCAGAUUUCAAGUGGACAAUGCACUAUUAGCAGCGAUCCUUGCUUCCUUUGUGAGGGUGGUUCAUCCUGGUGCUGAAUGGUCUGAUGUGUUGGACAAGAAGGUGAAAGCCUCAGGCUAGCCUGUUCUGGGAGGGCCCUUCUGGGCCAGAUUGCCAAAGAUUAAUGACCUUGCUGAUGACUUUCUCUGGCCUUAUGCUGAUCCUGUGGUGCAUGGCAGCCCUGACUGGGCAGUGCCCUUGGCCAGGAUGGACCUCAGAGCAUUUGCUACAUCUGUUCCAAUCUGAAAAUUUCCCCAUGUAUGACAUUCAUUUAACUAUUCAUUCUUUCAUUUAUAUAUGACAUUUAUGGUGCUGUGUUCAAGGAUUAUAAUAAAGAAGGAGAUAGAAAUGGUUCCUGUCCUCACAGAGUUUACACUUUGGACAAGAGGCAUUAAGUAGCUUAAUAAAUACUCAGUUAAGUCUGUAACAUGAACUAUAGUCAGUUCUCCAUACUGUUUAUAUAAUGUGAAUUAGUUUACAUUUUGUCUGUGCUGCUUUUAUGCUAGAAUGGUAGAGGUGAGUGAUUGCAGCUGUCACAGAAUGGCCUACAUAGCUCAUAAUAUUUAUUAUGUGACACUUGAUAGGAAGUUUGCUGACCCCUGCUUGGAUACCUUAGAUGUGUUGAGAAGAUAAGGUCACUCAGGGCUGCCCUCUGAGCUAAGGGUGAGGAGGGAAGCAGCACUGGUGUAAACCAUGUGUGCUCACAGACUCUCACAGACACGAAGCCUUGCGGGGGCGUCUUCUUGUCCAGUACGUUGGUCCACUUAGUACCAGGCUGGGCCACCUUCACAUUGGAGGCUGCAUGGUGACUGUAGUUAAUGAUACAGAAUUGUUUACUUAAAACUUGUUGGAAGUAGAUCUAAGUAUUCUUACCACAAGAAUCCAUUAAAAAAACCCAAAAGAGAGCUGGGAAAAUUCCCCUGUCACUUUAUUCCAAGACAGUUUCUAGGAGAGAGGAAGACAUUUCUUUCUACUCCUGGAAAAAAAUACAAAAAGUACUCUGAGUCAGAAAUGUCUGUCUACCAAAAUCCGUCCUCCUAGUUCCAUAGUGUGGCAUGGUAGCUGCCUGAUAGCUGUCCAGUCAGGAACUGCAUUUCCCACAGUCCUUUGUGUCGAGUGUACCCAUGUGACUAGUUCUGACCAAUGGAUUGGGAAUGGGAGUGACCGGUCAUUUGCAGGCUGGGAUUUUUAAUGAAAUGCUCACUUGCAAGCCCUCUGUCCCCUUCAGCUAUCUGGAUAUAGAGGGCUCUGAGGUUCUGGAGCAGGACUUCUGAAACUUCUGAGUGUUUGAGUCACCUGUAUCUGGAGAUCUUAAAGCACAGGGCAGGUGCAGUAGGUCCAGGGCAGGGUCUGAGAUCUUGCAUUUUUAACAAGUUUCCAGGAGAUGGCAGUGCUGUUGGUGCUUAGACCUUUAUUCUGUAGUGGAGCCAUAAAAUGAAAGGAACCUGUCUCUGAAUCACUUAAGUAGGAAAAAUCUCCUUUACUCAGCAACUCCUGAUCUGUUACCUGAGUGAGAAAUAAGCCUUUGCAGAAAGGUAUGGGCGUGUCUGCAUGCUCAGUCACGUCCGACUCUUUGCAACCCCUAUGGACUCUAGCCUGCCAGGCUCCUCUGUCCAUGGAAUUUGCCAAGCAAUACUGGAAAAUACUGGUUGCCAUUUAGGGGAUCUUCCUGACCCAGGGAUCGACCCCACGUCUCCUGUGCCUCAUGCAUUGCAGGCAGAUUAUUUACUGCUGAGUCACAAGGGAAGCCCAUUUUAAAACCUGCCAAAGCCUUAUACCAUUAGCUCAUUGACAAUAGUGGUUAAGGGGAAAAAAAAAAAAAAAUCUGGGUUUUAUAUUUGUUGACUUGGAUUAAAAACAGAGAGUGAAAAUGUUUGGGAUGGGUUGUGAAUGAUCUGCUUCAUCUGGCGGGGAGGUUAGUGGAGAGCAGACCAUGAGGGUCUUUGACCCUGAGAAGUCUCAGUGCAGGGAGUUGAGGUAGAGUCUCUUAAGCAAGGGACCAGCGGGUGAGUGUCAGGGCCCUGGUGCAGGUUGCAGGGCAGAGGUUGGCUGGAGGAGCCCAGCCAAAAGUGUGGUCACGCAAAGGCUGCUUGACCCCAGUGACAGAAGCCUGGGCAGGGAGGCAGAUGGGAUACUGAUGUGUGUGGUAUCUGAGUGUGUGUGCUAUUGGGAAGAGUUGCAGUUGGAGCAGAGAGGCAGAGGGAGUCCAGACCUGCUCCAAGGUCAAAAGCCACAGGAGCCUUUUGCCUCCUUGCAGUAAACAUUCACAGUGGGGAGGCCAAGUUCAUCUGAGGAACCUUGACCAGCUGGACCCAGCAUGCUAGAAUUCAGCCAAGGAUGCUAGUGGGAAAUCUCUCCCCAGGUUCUGAGGAAGAAAGGCUGGAACAAGAAGGCCUGCCCUGUCACUGUUGGUAUGGUCCUGACCUUACCUUCCUGAAAUAAAGCCAGAGCUGGGUCUUCUCAAGGCCUGCUGGCUUUGGGACAGAGCUGGGCCUGAGCAGGAACAGGAGGAAGUCAAGGGAAAAUAAUACUGGUUUUGGAUAAAGCACCUGGGUGGUGGCAGAAGCUAGCCUUUGUUCCAUCUGGUAUUCAGAUAACAUCAAGCCCUUCUGUCAGAAUUGUGUAGAAAUAGCAGCAAACCUGAGAAGAAUUGCAAACUGUCCACUUUGACUAGUCAGGGUCACUUACCAUGUUACAAACCAUUUUUAUUCAAGGGAAACUAUAGUGGAUGUAGACAUGAGACCAGUUUUUUUUUUUUUUUUUUUUUAAUUAUCUGAUGUUUAAAUACUCACCAAGCGCCUAUUGUAUGUUAGGCACCAUGAAGAUUAACUGUAGAAAUCCAAGGUGAAUUUUCAUACCUUGAUGAUGGAGAAGAGAGCAGAUUAUAAGAAUGUGAAUCUGUGUACUGAUUAGAUACCUGCCCAGGAAAGCUCUUGGAAGAGUUGAAACACAACUGGGGGCUGGGAGAGGCUGAGUUCCGGGUCAGCAGCCUGUGAGGGCUGCAGCCUCCAGCAGAGGAUGGAGGGGAAGGAAGAGAGGCAGGAAGCAUAAAGGUGGGCCCCACCCCAGCUCCGGCUUCUGUAGGGGGACCCACGUCGUGUCAGGUCAUCCUUCCAGUGAAACCCGUCAGUGCCUGCUGCUGCCUGGUGUGGAGGCCCACAUCCUGGCCGGGGCCUGUUAGGCCUGUGAUAUCUUCACCCCACGGCCCCCCAGCCUUCUACAGGCCAGUUUUUGAUAUCCUCUGCCCCCAGGUGACGGGCUGCCAUCAGGUCUCAGAUUUGGAGCUUGGCCCCCAGGCCCUUUUCUUCUCAGGUGGCCAAACUGCUCCAGUUUGCCCAGGACUCGAGGUGGGGAGGGUGUUGCUUGGAUGCCCACUCAACAGUUUCGAAACCAGGACCAUCCUUGUCAAACUGGGGGAAGUUGUCACCUUGCUCCCUGAGGCCUGGACCCCCCACACUGUUCCUGUUGUGACAUCUGCACACAUUGAACCAGUCCCCGGCUGUUCUCUUAGGAGAAGCCCUGGGUACGCCCCUCCUGGCCUCAUGAGGCCUCCUGCUUGCCCACUCUGGCUCCUUCACUUCUCCUUUGAAGCUCUUAUUACAACUGCAAGUAACAUAACUAGUUGUGGAAUUAGCUUCCUGAUAUGUAAAGCCUGCACAUCUCUGACAGGUGGGUCGUGCCUGUCUGGUUUAAAGUUGUAGUCUCAGCCCUCUGCACAGUACCUGCCACAUGACUGACACUGAUAAACAUCUGCUGAACGAGAAUUCCAGAGCACCACUGCAAACCAUUACAUGUCUCUCAGCUGGUAAGAGCAACAACUUAAAAAUGCAUAUGUGUCAUUGUAUAUGUACUCUGUGCUCGAGUCAGAGUCCCUGGCUAUUUCUUGGCACCCUUAAGAGGUGCUCAGGUCUCCUUAUUUCUUACCUGGAGGAUUUCAGUGCCUGCCAGCACGUCUCCUGUCUCCACUGCACCUGGACAGGGCUGCCAGGGCCUCCUCCCAGAGCUGAGUGCUGAGUUCACCUUUUCUCAGAAAGCUGAUAUGACACUUGACUGCUCAUAAUAGCAUUUGUGAUCUGCUUGCCCCUAUGUCUGUUAUUCUUCUGCCUCUCUGUCUCUGUCAGUCUCAGUCAAAAUAAACAAUACAUUGUUUCUCUAACAUACCUCCAACUUCCUUAACUCUGACUUCCCUCAUGCUGUUCUAUGCCUUAUCCCUCCCUUACCUUUUGAAAUCCUACCCAUCCUCCAAAGCCCACUAAUACACCCCUUGUCCAGGGUCACUUCUAAAUGCCUCCACGCAUUUCUGCAUUCUGUAGAAACAGACAUUCCCACUGUGUUAACUGUCUUGACCUUCUAACCAGAUUAUAGGCAACUUGAGAACAGGGGCUGCGUUCUACGCAUCUGUAAUGCUUUAUAGAUAGUAGGUACUCAACACUAUUCAAAAAUGUUUGUUAAGCUGAGUUAAGUAGGUUUAAUUCAUGCUCCUUUUGUUUCAUGUAGCCCGUGAAAUAAUUUUAUAAAAAUUCUAGAUCUGAUUUCAUUUUUAAGUUGACAUCUAUGUUUUUUUCACAAAUUUAAAUACUGCCAAGGAUAUAUUUUUGUAUAUAUGCUUUAAAUGUAUCUUAUUUAAACCUUGUAGUUGCAGAUUUGACUCAUUUAACUUAUGGAAAAUACCUGCUAUAUAAUCUUAACUGGCUAAGCUAGUCCUUGUGGUCAAGUCAGACAAACAGCCAAACCACACAUUCAAUCAGGAAAAAAGUCUGACUUUAUUUUAAAAUUUAGAUAAACAUGGGUGCUAAUUCUUAGAUAGGAACCCUACAGGGCUCUUGAAUUGAAGGAAGGCAUUGCCCGUGUAAGUGAUGCUCUCUGCUUUGCUCUCCUGACUUCCCAAGGCUGCCUUCUCCAGUUGUCACUUUAAUGCCCUAGAGGUUUUACACUUUAGGGGGAUGAACAGAGUCAAAUUUAGGUUGCAAUGAUAAGUCCGUCUUUCUUCCAUAAUGUGAAGGGUCCUUGUGUAGGGCAGGUGGGAAUGGGCAGUGGGCAAACCACAAGCCUUGAAAUGCAUAAAAAUGAAAGAUGAAGUUCUGGAAGUGGAUUCCAGGUAAGACAGGUCCCUGCCUGUGUGAGCCCUGGAAAGUCUCUGUGUGCCCCCCAGGGACUGUGUGUUCUUGGCGUGAAGGCAUUUGACCCAGGAGGAAGGCACAGUGGAGAUCACAUCUUCUUUCACACAGAUACACCUUGUGAGGGUUUUAGAAAAUUUACCUUCCACUUAAUGAAGAAAGGUCACUUUGUUGCUUCACAAGAUUUCCAGGUGAACUCAUUCUCCAAGACACCGUUACAUCAGAAGAAAAGAUCCAACGAAACUCUCAGAAUCUUUUAUAACAGAUGCGGCCCUCAUCUGCGGUUGCCAGCAACCCUCCCCCCGGGCGGUGGACAGGCUUCAGCUUUCCUGGAUCGCUGGGCUGCCGGGGUGAUAUGCCACCAGUGUGGCCCAGCAAGAGGUCAGUGUAAUUUGAGAUUGUUGCUCCAUCAUUUAUUCCCAAAUGUUUACACACUGCAGCUGCUAUUACCACCAGUAAGCAUAACCAUCAUCUCUACACAUUUAAUUGGUGCCCUAAAUAAACUUGACAUGAUGCGGAAUCAUGCACUAUCAUUGGACAUAGUGCCCUUACUGUGUUAAGACUUGGAAAGCACUCUGGAGAUUUUGUAGGCAUCCCGUCUGGCGUUAUGGUUAUCUGAAAAAGAAAUCUUGUUAGUCCAACUUCUUCAGCAGUUAGGUCACUUGAUUUUGCAGUGAGUUUGGCCUGAAAAAUAAUAUCAGUUGGGCAGGGUCAGAUUCAUUCUGGGGGAGCCCCAAGCUUACACAGUUUGGGAGAGACUCAAGAAAGAAAAUGUAAAAUUCCGCAUGAGCUUGAGGGCUCACGCAAACUUCAGUUCCUCCAGCUUCACAGCAAACCCACCUGUACUGUAGGAACAGUGGUCAGGUGUCUGGCAGAGUGCCUUGCACUUGGAGUACACACUUGAAGCUAUGCCAGGCACAUGUAGCCCCCAGCAGCCACACACUUCACCAGGUCUGGGGUGUGUAUGAUCCACUGCUUGGAAGGGGAAUCAGAUCCUGAUGAAAGCAAGGGGUUCUCUGCUGAAAGCCUUGCUGUUGUUCCAAGACAGAGGCUGCAGAUUGGUAGGCUGUGGGCCAGACUCGGUCUGCAGGUGGUUAGUUGUGGUAGAAGAUAAGAAACUUCUUGUUCAGUGUUUCUUAAAAAUGUGAAUUAAACUUGUCAAACUUUAAAAACCAUAAAUUUCAUAUAAAAAGCUGAUUUAUUUUUCGUUUUCUUCUCUCCCACCCCACCCCCCCAACCCUUCUCAUGAGGAACUGAAAGAUGGUUCCACAGUGACAGAUGACAGCUUUAGAGAAGGGAUGUGCUUAUUGGUCCACCCAGUCCCCACCUUGGCAUCUUCAUGUUUAUUUUCUGCCUGACCUUGGAAACUUGAUUCAUGAUAUAAGGAAACCCUCCUCCUCAAGCUGAUUAUGACUUGCGUUUGAAAGGGCUCCUACACUGGACUGGUCUACAGAGAGGACUGCUCAUCUCAAAUUCACCUUAAAACGACACUCAAACCGAGGAGAAACUGCACUCAGACCAGGAUGAAAAAAAGACAAUAUCAGAAGUAGACAGCUGACUGAAGGUGCUGGACCUGACCCAUAAGGCUGCAAGACUCUUCACUUGAGGCUUUCAACUACAUUGUCCUCUUGUCAAACAACUAAACUAUACCUCUGCCUGAUGGGAAUUAAACAGCUGGUGCUCAGGAUACUGCACUUAAAGAGAGGGAAAGAGGCAACCCAAGGAAGCUGUUUACAUGUGCCCUCUUGUGAUGGACCUGAUCUCCCUGUUUGACUUUCUGAGUAGGGGAGGUAAGGCUUAUUUGCAUUUGAACUCCUGUGAGGGGCAAAGUAUGGGAAGCCUCAUUAUUUCAGGUCCCAUUAAAGAGAAACUGCCCUCUGAAACAUUUGCCUUUUAGUAUGUGUAGCUACAAAUAAGAAUGCAUGGAUAAUUAACUGAAGGUAAAACUUUAAAAAGAAAGAUUAAAAAUUAAAAUGGCAGAGAAGAAAGGCAAGCCUUGAAAUUUUACUAGGUUAUCAACCAUGGGCAAGGGAAAUAAACAUCUAGACAAAAAAGCAAACCAAAUAGAAAUAAAAGGAGAAAUAAUAAGAAAGGUAAGCAGAAAGGAAUGCUAAAAAGAUCCGUGUUCUUUAAUGAAAAUAAAUGGGCUAUAAUAACGAUUUUUUAAUAUUAGCGAUUCAUUGUAAUCUGAGAAAAUAUAGGAGGAAUACUUUGCUCUGUCAAGGUGAAAAUGUAAUGGAAAGAGGAUUCUUAAAAAGACAAUAAAAUGACAGAAAUAUAACAAUGCUGUCAAAGAAACUCCUAUCUCUGAGCCUGAGACGAGAGGAAAGCCUUCUCAUAAAGGAACUGCAGCAAUGCCAAUCUCAAUUUAACAAAUUGUGGUCCUUCAAUUAUAAAAUUUGUAUUGUAGAUGAAAACUGAUUAAGAUCUAUGAGCUAAACUGCAAAAUUCUGACUUAUGGCAAACUGUUCCCUAGAAUACAAUUUUUAAAACGUUUUUUUCUACCACUGAAAAUGUACAGAAACGUGAUUACAGAAAUGGCAGUACAAAUGGCAGCACACCAGUGAAUUCACUAGGUUUCUAACUCACCCUGCAAGUGUGCAGGGAACACUGCUUCUAAGACUGGUGAUGGGUGCCACCGAGUGAGCCGUGGAAACAGGUCAUGGGCGAACAGUUCUGAAUGUUUCAAAGAAACCUUUUAACCCCUGUCUAGAUAUGUCAAGAACAAUUUAUUUACAACUCUUCAGCUCAAUUAAAAGAUAUAAUCUUGUCUCAGUUUCAGCUUGCUCCGUGCAGUUUGAUUUUUAAGGCGAUAUUCCAGUUUGUGAUUGCUCUUAACUUGUCCAGUUUCUUGAAACAAAGUUUGGAUGACAUCCAAAUCCUUCAUGCAGUGGGGGAAUUUUUUUUCUUUUUUUUUUUUUACUAAAGCUACACUGCAUUCUCUGUGAUGUUCUUCAUGUUGUUUUGGUUCUUCCGUAGCUGCCAAAGCCCCCACUGUGUAACAGGGGGCUUUAGGAUCAGUUAGGUCUGCACUGUGGACACCGUCCGGACCAUGCUUAUUGGACACGUGGGGCUUCAUGUCGGUGCCUCCAAGCCUUGGUGCCUCGUGGAUUUAUGCGUUUGACAGUGGAAAUAAAUUAAAACGCCGAGAGACGGAACUUAAGAACGGCCUGCAGGCAUCCAGGUAAUUCAGAAAGUGAUUGGAGAACCAGCUUUUGAGAAAUACUGGCCUGCAUUCUCUGGAAGAAGUUGGGGGAGUGACUUUCUCAGCAGUUCAGUGUCACUCAAGACAUAUUUCUUAGGGACCACCAGACAGAGAAUUUGGAUAAAGACACCUAAAAAGAAACCUGAGGUUGGUUGGAUACAAGAAGGCAGACACCUUGAGCUCGCCUCCUUUCAUGAGCAUGCUGGUCACAACCAACUGCUGAACAGCCAUUGAUAAAAGACAGGAAUCUACCAGAAAAGGAUAUUCUGCAUCCGAAGACACAAGAAGAAACCAUGAGAUAGCGGUAGGGGGGGCACACUCAUGAUAUAAUCAAAUCCGUUACCACCCGGGUGGGAGACCCACACACUGGAGAAUAAUUAAAUUGCAAAAGUCCUCCCCCAACCUAGAAGAAAUAGGCAUAUUCUUAGAAAAGUACAAAUCUCCCACGACUGAACCAGGAAGAAGUAAAAAAAAAUAAGAACAGCCCGAUGACAAGUACUAAAAUUGAAUCUGUGAUUUAAAAACUCCCGACAAACAAAAGUCCAGGACCAGAUGGUUUCAUAGGCAAAUUCUACCAAACAUUUAGAGAAGAGUUAAUUAACAUCUAUCCUGAAACUAUUUCAGAGGAAGGGAAACUUCUAAACUCACUCAUUCUAUGAGGCCACCAUCACCCUUGAUCGAAAGAUUCAACAUUAUCCAAGUGGACUAUACUACCUAAGGCAGUCUGCAGAGUCAGUGCAGUUCCUAGCAAACUUUGUUUCUCACAUGGGCACCACCAUAACCCAGUCUUCUCUUUACUUCUUCUCUUCCCUACCUCUGGUCUCCAUGCAGCAGCAAUGUCUCUGAGACAUAAAUUUGAUCAUGCCAUUCCUUUGCUUAAAACGUUUGGUGGAUUCUCACUGCUCUUAGACUAAAAUCAUUAACAAAGCCCACAAAAGCUUGCCUUAUCUGGCCCCUGCCAGCCUCCCCAGCUUCACCUCCAUUCAUCCCCUGUUCCUCAUUCACACUGGUCAUUGUGCAGUUACUCACACACACAAGCUCAUUCUGUAUUCUGGGACCAUACAUCAUUGCUGGCUCCUCUGCACCCCACAGUGAUUCACAGGCUGGGUUCUUUUUCAUUCUUUAGGACUCCUAAAUAUUACCCAAGAGAACCCCAACCCACAGUAGGUACUCUAGUCUCCUUGAGAGCUUCUUGUCUUUUUAUUUCCUCAUAGUGCUUAUAAUUUGGAAUUAAUACUUGGCUGCCCCUUUGAUUAACAUAAGUCUCAGUUAGUAGAUUGUAAGUUUCAUGAGGUCAGUGACCACACUGGUCUUGUGUAUCACAGUGGACUUAACAUCUAGCAUAGUGCUUGACACAGUAAUACCUGUUCACUGUAUAUUUGAAUAAAAAAUAAAUCUACUGCACAAAUAGAAAUGGAAGACUUUCCAAGGGGAGGAUGACGAUGAUGUCUGUUUGAAGUGUGAGAGGAAAGAAGGAAGUCUGUGGAAAGAGAGCAGAAGGAGGACACCAGUGACAUCAGCUUUCCCUGGUGGCUCCUCGGAUGCAGAGGGCAGAGAGGGUCCUGAUCCAAGUCCAUCUGAUACAACAGAUGUUCCUUCCCUCUGUAAUCUUCGCAGUUAUAGUGAUAAUAAUGCCUUUGCUUUAAAGGAACGUCAUCCUUAUGGAAGCAUGAAUCAACGUGCCAGUGAAUGUUCAGAUUAGCCGACAGGUAAGACAGAACCAAAAUAUCUUGCACGCCCUUGAGGGAGAAGCAACCCCCUUUCCUAAGUUAGAUCAACUUUAUUCCCCUUGCUGUUAUCAGCUCUAGCCAGUUUGGAUCUCUCCUAGAAAACAAACCAGUGAAUACACAUUACAUAUUACUGGUAUAUGGUGUACACACAUUACACACUCACAAGCACAUAUCAUUAUUUCUGGGUUAAAAGAUGUAUGACCUCUUAAAUUAUCUUGUAGGAACCUGGCAAUAUUGAAAAAAUAAAAUGCUCUCUUUGACUUCAUAUGUCCAAGCUUUAAAAAAAAAACAGAACAAACCUUAUCUACUAUGCUUCAACCACUCUUUUUAUUUUAUUGAAUAUCACUAGAGUGACAAUAACCAGAGAGGUGAUCUGCUAGGAAUAAACUACUUAUUGUAGUAAAUAUCUGUAUUAUUGGUUUUCCCAGGUGGCUCUUAUUGGCAGCAAAAAUUUGUACAGAAGAGGAAAAUAAGUCAAGGAAGAGUUGAUUUUUUUCUGUGCUGAAGGGUAAGGGAGACCCUUGGAAGGAAGGAAGGAAGGAAGCCAGGGAGUGUUGCAGGGAAAGAGGAUCUGUUUCCUGCUAUACCCCUUACCUGACAGCGUCCAGGGUUCUAGCUUGGGCUGACCGGUCCCCCCAACCCUGAAAAAGAGCUCCUGCACUUGUCUCCUCCUCUCAGUGAGGUCGGGCCCGAAGCCUAAUGGCUGCCUUUUGGAUUCGGGCAUCUAGGAGAGCAACAGUGCUGUCAGCACCGCUGGGAUGACUAAUAUUGACAACAGCUAACACGGAUUGAAGUGCUUCCUAGGUACCAGGAACUAUUCUGAACUCUUAAGAUGUAUUUACUCACCUGUAAACUUGCACAUUUACAGAUGGGGAAACCAAGGCACAAAAAGUUUACCUUGUUCAAGACUACAUAGCAGAAGGUAAUAGAACAGGGUUGUUGAAUGACUUUCUGAAUGGGGUGAAGUUCUACAAGCUCAGCUGGAAUACUGUCACAAGACUCCUUUGCUAUCAACUCUUUUGAUUGGGGCUCAUGUCUUCUAGGGCAGCUUGACAGGAACUCCCAUCUAAAGCACUGUCAGAGGCAGAUCUAUUAUUAAUCCAACUAGUCUCUGAAAUGCUAUUUGUGUUUGAAUCUUGGACACAGAGGAAUAGUUACAGAGCCGGGGUGUUGUGUUGAUCUGUGGAAAUGCUGGGCAUAUUAUUAGCUGGAAUCAGAACAGUGAGAUUGGAUGUCUUAAGGUUGGGGAUAAUAUUAUAUGCUUUAAAAAUAUCCCUCAUGUUGUCACACCUUGAACCUGAAUUGAAAAUCUCAUCUACAGUGGAAAAAGCCUCUUCAAGUGGUGUUGGAAAAGUUGGAUAGCUGCAUGUAAAUCAAUGAAGUUAGAACAUACCCUCACACCGUACACAAAAAUAAACUCAAAAUGGCUUUUAAAGACUUAAAUGUAAGACGUAACAUCGUAAAACUCCUAGAAGAGAACAUAGGCAAAACAUUCUCUGACAUAAACUGUGCCAGUGUUUUCUUUGGUUAGUCUCCCAAGGCAAUAGGAAAGGAAACAAAUGGGACGUAAUCAAACUUAGAAGCUUAUAAAAGAUGUUCCUAAUUGCUAAUUAUAUUAGAGAAAUGCAAAUCAAAACUACAGUGAGGUACCACCUCACAGUGGUCAGAAUGGCCAUCAUAAAAACUGCAAAUACCAAAUGCUGGAGAGGAUGUGGAGAAAAGGAAACUCGCCUACAGUGUUGUUGAGAAUGUAAGUUCGUAUAGACACUGUGGAAAACAGUAUAGUGGUUUUCCAGAAACCACUAAUAAAACUAAAAAUAGAAUUACCUUAUGAUCCAGCAAUCCCACAACCUGAAUGUUCAUCCACAGAUGAAUGGAUAAAGAUCUGGUGC